AGGAAGUUGAGGAAAUUGGAGGUAUGUAACAACUUGUAUACUUUGUAUUGCAUUAUUUGCAUCCGUCUUGUGUGUAGUGGUAUAUGUGUGUGUUUUAAUGUGUGAUGAGUAUAGGAGGAGAAGAAACAAGAAGCAAAACUAUCUCAAAGUGUUCGAAUCUUGGACAAGUACAAGAUUCAAGAUGAAACGUUUUCUCUUCUCAAGUCGUCGGGGAAUAUAGGACAGGCUGGACCUGUCAAGGAAAAGCGGCUAAGGGCAGUACAGUUUCUGCAGGCCGGGUUAGAAGCUCCAGAAGAUGAUAGACCUAGUAAAAGAAGGGCAAAAGAGUCUGAGCCCUGUCAAGUCGAAGUUGGUGUGGAUGAAAAACAGGAGGUUGUUGAGGAUGACAUUAUACCGCCGAUG